AAGUCUUGUGCAGCCACACCUGCUGUGAGGUAAUGCUUGCAACAGCCGUGUUAUGUCCAGAAGCCAAUAUUUUACAGCUCUUAUCCCAUCCUCAGUCUCUCAUAUCUUUCUUUGGUCCCUCUUUUCACAGAGCUCCCUGAGCCAGUGAAGGCACUUUAAGAACGGCAUGACAGGACUGUCUUCCUUGCAGAUGGCAAACUUUCAGUGUUUUAAUGCAGCAACACAAGAACUGGUACAUAAACUAAUUCAUUGUUCCAAAGAGUGCUGAAGCCCAGGCCUUGGUGAUGUGACAUGUAGUGAGCAAUAAGAAUCAGAGUGAAGCAUGUUCACGUUGGCAAGGCACAGAAAGUGCUGCACAGUACAGGCUUUCCUGCCUCUUCAGAUCCUGGCUCCAGGUUCCUGCCCUGAGUUCCUG